GACGAACGCUGGCGGCGUGCCUAAUACAUGCAAGUAGAACGCUGAAGAGAGGAGCUUGCUCUUCUUGGAUGAGUUGCGAACGGGUGAGUAACGCGUAGGUAACCUGCCUUGUAGCGGGGGAUAACUAUUGGAAACGAUAGCUAAUACCGCAUAACAAUAGGUGACACAUGUCAUUUAUUUGAAAGGGGCAAUUGCUCCACUACAAGAUGGACCUGCGUUGUAUUAGCUAGUAGGUGAGGUAACGGCUCACCUAGGCGACGAUACAUAGCCGACCUGAGAGGGUGGUCGGCCACACUGGGACUGAGACACGGCCCAGACUCCUACGGGAGGCAGCAGUAGGGAAUCUUCGGCAAUGGGGGCAACCCUGACCGAGCAACGCCGCGUGAGUGAAGAAGGUUUUCGGAUCGUAAAGCUCUGUUGUAAGUCAAGAACGAGUGUGAGAGUGGAAAGUUCACACUGUGACGGUAGCUUACCAGAAAGGGACGGCUAACUACGUG
rnacentral:rRNA from 1 species